CAGUUUGACUGACUAUGGCUUUUGGUUAUCUCUGGCCAUCAGGCACUGUUAAUGCUAGUGGUGUUGUUUGUGCUUGUGCUGAGCUGAAAUCUCACUCUCUUUUUUGGGUUUAGCCAUAGAGCGAGCAGCGCUUUGUUUGCUCUGCUUCAGAGACCGGUGCGAAAAUGUUUUCGCUUUGAACGCAGUUUCAGUGUUUUAGUCACAUUCUUGGUGUAGACUACACUAAGCGGAUUUCGUUUCGUUUCAUUCCGUUUGGUGCGAGACAACUCGAGUUGUUUCCAUUUCAUUUCGUCGCUUAUCGCUCUUGCGUCUGUCGUUACGUGUUUUUGUUUUCGGGUUUAAAGCAGCAUCUAUGCAGCAUUUGAACGAAAUCUUUUGAGGCGGAGGUGCUGUUUCAUUUCAUUUGCUGUGAUUUGAGAUGACCAAGUGAAGGGUCAAUGUGUUUUCUCAUGCAAAUGCAAAGAAAAAAUCUAAAAAAAAAAUUAACGAUGGGAAUUUGAAAUCACAAAUUAAAAUAUCCAUAACAUAAGAGGCAAAAAAAAAAUACACAAAAAUUAACAACAAUAAACAGCAACAACCACAAGUCAACAAGUGUUAAUGUGCUACAAUAUUCGAGGUUUUUAAAAGCCAGCAACAAAAAAAGAAACAAAUAAACGGCCUUGAACUCAAAAAAAAAAUCAAGCUCAAUUUUUGCCAUUAAAAAAAUAUGUCAGAAAUUUUUUUUUAAAUUUUUUGCUUUCGUUUAAGAGAUACAGAUGCUUGUGCUGAGAAAAAAAGUUUUGAUUUUUAUUUGUUUUCAAAAAUUUCAAAAAAAAAAAAAUCUCAAAAACUACUUUCCUGCUGCCCUGAACAAAGUGUCGAGUUCUUCAACCUUUACCGCACUAUUAAUCAUUUAAAAAUAAAUCUGGGCUUUUCACAACUUAACACUUUUGUGCAAAACUUUGGAAUACAUCCUCCUCUCUCUCUUUUUUGUGUUCAUGCAUUCAGUGAAACCUUUUUUUUUUGUAAAGUUCAUCGAUAUUCAUCGACAAAACUGUGUGGAAGUUAUUGCCUUAUCUCGUAUACCUGGAUUAAAUACUGCGCAAUAUUGCAAAUUCUUAUAAUUUUUUUUUUUAUUUUGUUAUUGCUCAAAUGCCAUUAGACAAGGGCGAGAGGAAAUUGUAAAAAGCUGCACCUUUAUGGCACCUGUAAUUAUGCAUAUUUGCCGCCGCCGCAAUUCCAGUGAUCUAUAAAAACAGG